UAACCAAAACUAGACUGAUCUCACUACUGAGAGAACCUGAGAACCAUUCUGUUUUUCUUGGAAAAUGAAAGAUUGGGCUUUAUAUUUUACAGAAUGUACGCUGCCCUCUGGAAAAAUUUUUCUAGAUGAGGGGAAUAGAUGUUCAUAGUGACCCACAUAGUAUUAAAUGCUACGACAUUAUUUCUUGUGGUCAUGGAGGACGAAGCUUAGUGACUCACUUGGCCUUUUGCGGGUCCAUCUUCCCAGAGCAGAGCAAUUGGUGCUGAGCAGCAUGGAAAACAGCUACUGGAAGACAGAGCCCUUUGAGGUUUAAGGAUGUGACAAGUAGGAACAACACAAAAGAAAAAUGUGGAAGGUGAUUACCCUGUUUCUGGAAGCAGUGAUUUUUUUGUUAGUCUGUGAAUGCUCCUUGAGAGAAAGCUAGAUAGUUAAUGGGAAUUAAAACACAUUUAUCAAUGGAGGUAUUAUCUACAGUGCUUCUAUCUCUGAGAAUCAAGCGGGAAAGUCUUUUCCUCUUCAAACUCCAUAAUGCUCCCUGGGCAGUAUGGGAAGCUCUCUGGAAAAUCCAG
rnacentral:lncRNA from 1 species